rnacentral:rRNA from 1 species
UUGACCUCAAAUCAGGUAGGAUUACCCGCUGAACUUAAGCAUAUCAAUAAGCGGAGGAAAAGAAACUAACAAGGAUUCCCCUAGUAACUGCGAGUGAAGCGGGAAAAGCUCAAAUUUAAAAUCUGGCAGUCUUUGGCUGUCCGAGUUGUAAUCUAGAGAAGUGUUGCC